rnacentral:rRNA from 1 species
UACGGAGGGUGCAAGCGUUAAUCGGAAUCACUGGGCGUAAAGCGCGCGUAGGCGGCUUGAUAAGUCAGGCGUGAAAUCCCUCGGCCCAACCGGGGAACUGCGUUUGAUACUGUCAGGCUUGAGUAGCGGAGGGGGUGGCGGAAUUCCGGGUGUAGGAGUGAAAUCCGUAGAUAUCCGGAGGAACACCGGUGGCGAAGGCGGCCACCUGGACGCUAACUGACGCUGAGGCGCGAAAGCGUGGGGAGCAAACAGG